GACGAACGCUGGCGGCGUGCUUAACACAUGCAAGUCGAGCGGUAAGGCCCUUUCGGGGGUACGCGAGCGGCGAACGGGUGAGUAACACGUGGGUGACCUGCCCUCAGCUCUGGGAUAAGCCUGGGAAACCGGGUCUAAUACCGGAUAUGACUCCAUGACGCAUGUUGUGGGGUGGAAAGCCUUGUGCGGCUGAGGAUGGGCCCGCGGCCUAUCAGCUUGUUGGUGGGGUGAUGGCCUACCAAGGCGACGACGGGUAGCCGGCCUGAGAGGGCGACCGGCCACACUGGGACUGAGACACGGCCCAGACUCCUACGGGAGGCAGCAGUGGGGAAUCUUGCGCAAUGGGCGAAAGCCUGACGCAGCGACGCCGCGUGAGGGAUGACGGCCU
rnacentral:rRNA from 1 species